GCGCGCAGGGACAGGGAAGCAUCGAUCAACGUUGACUCUUAAUCCGCGGGUUCGGGGUUCGAGUCCCUGGCGGCGCACCA
rnacentral:tRNA from 1 species